ensembl:snRNA U1 U1 spliceosomal RNA
ACUGUUACUUUGCAGAGGAAACCCAUGAUCAGGAAGGUGGUUUUCCCAAGGUGAGGUUCAUUCUUUGCACUUGGGGAUGUGCCAACCUCUGCGAUUUCCUCAGACAUGGGAAACUCGACUGUAUAAUUUGUGGUAGCAGGGGACUGUGUUCCUGCUCUCCCAAG